GGGGCAAGUUUUUGACUUUUGAGGAUGUUUUUGUUAUACUGAAGUUAUGAUGAAACAGUACAAGGUUUUGUUGAGCUGAAAAGUGGAGUGGAUAACACGUGGGGUCUCUAACAAACGUGGCAAUGAGAUAAAGAUCAUGCACUUUUUGGGUUUGAAUGGUUCUUGAUCCGAAUUGUGAUGCCUAGUCAUAUGCAACUAUAUCACUUGGGAUGGGUAAGUCACAUAAUUCUAAACUACCGCAAGCUGGAUUUUUGGAAGGAUCGUUAAAGUAGAUAAAGAGGCGGGUCGGGUUUAUUUUGGCCACGUCCAAUCUUAAAAUUCAAAAAAUUCAAUUUAGUGAUGAGUGAGUUGGUUUGGAAGUGGCUGCGGAGUCUUUGGGUUUGGAAGGAGGAGAUGUUAGUGGAGUGUAGGAAUUACGGCAGCGACGUGUGGAGGUGGAUUCCCUGGUUGUUGGAUAUACAUUUAGAGGGGUAUACUGACUUCUCACUGCGAGGUUGUCCUGUGUUCAUGUAUCCGAGUCUCUAUUAUGGAGGAAGGAAAUUCCUUUGGAGAUUACCGUGUUCAUCGCUUACGAAUUCGUUUGCCUACCAAAUCAAAUCUGUAUCGUAGAGGCAUUAUCUCAUCCCAGAAUUUUCUGUGGUAAAGAGAGCUAUCCCGUGCAGCUCCUGAAAAAAAAAAAAAAAAGUAAAGCUAUUGUCUUUUUG